UUCCCUCCCGUCAGAGAGACUCGCGGGAUGACGCCGGGGAGCACAGACGCCGCUGCAACAGUCGUGGGAGGCGACAGGGCCGCGACACCUCAGGCCGAGCGCAUCGCGGCCAGCCCUCACGCAGGAGUAGGGAACCGGGGGGCCGCCGCCGCCACAGGGAGGGCCAAGGGUUCCCAGUCUCCGCAGCCGGCCUCACGCCACCGCCGCCAGGAGGACACGGGGCGGCGGGGACAGAGUGUCUCCAGAGGCGGCCGCUAAGCGGCGUCGGGGCGCCAGCGCCAGGCCCCGCUGUCCUCCCCCGGCGGAACAAUGGCGGCUCCGGCCGCGAACCACGCUGCGCGCGGAGGCCGGUCAGGUCACGUGGAGGCCGUGGGCGGGGUAUGCAUCACGUGGGUGCUGUGGGCGGGGCCGGGCGGACUCCGGGCAUUUAGGGGGUCUCCUUGAGCCGUGUGGCAUUGGCGGCUUGGGGCGACGCGGAGCUUGAGCGUGGAACUCCUGCAGGCUCGGGCACUCUGAGUGCGGAGAGGGAUUCAGGUGUGAGGCCUGCGCGCGAGCAAGACGGUCUAAUCCAUCGGAGUCUGAUCAGGCUUUGCUCUCUCAUUCCUGCAGAGAUGGUGCAGUGGACCGGCUUUUUCUCCUUAGGUCAGGAGCCAGUUGGAUGCUUCCAGGGGGAGCUCCACGGAGUCUGAGGCCACGGGCACGUGUAAUUCACAUCCGAGUAUUUCUUCGGGGCGGACUAGCAUAUUAACAUUUGCCAACGUUUGCGUCUGUUCUCUCAUUCACUCCUGCUGUCUGUUGUCAGGCUCCAGAAUUAAAAAGUCGGCAAGCCCGUGGGAGGCACUAUUAUUUUUCUACUAAUUUGUAGCCUUAAUAGGAAAUACUGAGAGGAAGCCCAUUAGACUGUAUUUAUAUGCAAGGGAAGCAUAUUAUUUUAAGCUUUUAUACAGCACAAAAAGAGUUGCAAUUUUUGAAUGCAUGUGUUGUCCAACACUCAAAUGUAGCAUUAGAAGGAAACUAGGUGGGUUGGGGAAUGUCGCUCAGCGGUAGAACAUGCUUGCUGAACAUAUGCAAGGCUCUGGCGUCGAUUCCCAGCACCAAAAAUAAAUAACUGAGGCGCUUCUUCAGUUCUUAAUUAUAAAAAUGCUUGAGGACUACCUUAGUGUUUGUAUUCUGACUUUGUUAUAAGGAAACAGAGUCUGUAAUUAAAUGGUAGUUAGCAUGUAAGCAACUGAAGUAAAUACAAACUAAGAACCUA